UACGAAGGGGGCUAGCGUUGCUCGGAAUUACUGGGCGUAAAGCGCACGUAGGCGGUUUGGUAAGUCGGGUGUGAAAUCUCCACGCUCAACGUGGAGGGGCCACUCGAUACUGCCAUGACUCGAGUCCGGUAGAGGAGUGUGGAAUUCCCGGUGUAGCGGUGAAAUGCGCAGAUAUCGGGAGGAACACCCGUAGCGAAGGCGGCACUCUGGGCCGGAACUGACGCUGAGGAGCGAAAGCCAGGGGAGCAAACGGG
rnacentral:rRNA from 1 species